rnacentral:sRNA from 1 species
CUUUAGAAGUUGUUUUUCAGUUCAUAAAUGUUGCAUAGCUUAGACAAAAACAGACAAAAUAUAUCUAAGUUUUUUAAAAUAAUAAUCCUUAUCAGUGAAUUUUAUUCUAUUGGUUUUAUUUUAACUUUUUUAUUUUACAUUAUGCUAGCUGUUAAGAAGAAAUCCUGAGCGGCGCCUUGGGGCUAGUGAGAAAGAUGCAGAGGAUGUAAAAAAGCACCCAUUUUUCCGGCUAAUUGAUUGGAGUGCUCUGAUGGACAAAAAAGUAAAGCCACCAUUUAUACCUACCAUAAGAGGACGAGAAGAUGUUAGUAAUUUUGAUGAUGAAUUUACCUCAGAAGCACCUAUUCUGACUCCACCUCGAGAACCAAGGAUACUUUCGGAAGAGGAGCAGGAAAUGUUCAGAGAUUUUGACUACA